GUUGAACGCUGGCGGCAUGCCUUACACAUGCAAGUCGAACGGUAACAGGUCUUCGGAUGCUGACGAGUGGCGAACGGGUGAGUAAUACAUCGGAACGUGCCUAGUAGUGGGGGAUAACUACUCGAAAGAGUGGCUAAUACCGCAUGAGAUCUACGGAUGAAAGCAGGGGAUCGCAAGACCUUGUGCUACUAGAGCGGCCGAUGGCAGAGUAGGUAGUUGGUGGGAUAAAAGCUUACCAAGCCGACGAUCUGUAGCUGGUCUGAGAGGACGAUCAGCCACACUGGGACUGAGACACGGCCCAGACUCCUACGGGAGGAAGCAGUGGGGAAUUUUGGACAAUGGGCGCAAGCCUGAUCCAGCAAUGCCGCGUGCAGGAUGAAGGCCUUCGGGUUGUAAACUGCUUUUGUACGGAACGAAAAGCCCUGGGUUAAUACCCUGGGGUCAUGACGGUACCGUAAGAAUAAGCACCGGCUAACUACGUGCCAGCAGCCGCCGUAAUAC
rnacentral:rRNA from 1 species